rnacentral:rRNA from 1 species
CGAGGAACCUUCUACAAUGGGCGCAAGCCCGAUAGAGCAACGCCGCGUGGAGGACGACGGCCUUCGGGUUGUAAACUCCUUUCGGGGGGGAUGAAACGGACAGUACCCCCAGAAGCAGCCCCGGCUAACUCUGUGCCAGCAGCCGCGGUAAUACAGAGGGGGCAAGCGUUGUCCGGAUUUACUGGGCGUACAGCGCGCGCAGGCGGCGAGCGAGGUGCCGUGUGACAGCUGGGAGCUCAACUCCCAGCGGCCACGGUAGACCGGCUGGCUGGAGGCAGGGAGAGGGUUGUGGAAUACCCGGUGGAGCGGUGAAAUGCGUAGAGAUCGGGUGGAACACCAGGGGCGCAGGCGGCAACCUGGCCCUGACCUGACGCUGAGGCGCGAGAGCGUGGGGAGCGAACCGG